GCAUGGUCUCUUCUGCUCCAUGGUAUACUAAAUAGCCGCAGUACUCUGACUGUGCAAAGGUAGCAUAAUAAUUUGGCUUAUAAUUGAAGUCUGGUAUGAAAGAAAUGAUGGGAGAUAUCUGUCUCCAUAGGCACUAAUAUGAAAUUAGUAAGCAAGUGAAAAUACUUGCAGAUUUAAAAUAGACGAGAAGACCCUAGAAGCUUGUUAUUUGUUUUGUUGGGGCGACAGAAUUGCAGAGUAACCAAUUUUCAUAUAUGUGACGCAAGCAGUAAAAUUAAGCUACUCUAGGGAUAACAGCAUAAUAAAAUAUUUGUUUGUGACCUCGAUGUUGGACUAGGUAGAAUAAUCUUUAGAAGAGAUUAAAAAUGCUCUGUUCGAGCAGGAUAACCUACAUGAUCUGAGUUCA
rnacentral:rRNA from 1 species